rnacentral:lncRNA from 1 species
UCACACACGCCUUUUCUGAUGGAAAUAUUUGUGACCUAGCAGUGUAUCGCAAAUGGUUGGCUAGGACGGCAUCGGGUGUGGUGGUUCAUUGACCUCACACGAUCUUCUUGUAGCAAAAUGUUUGUAUUGUUAGUGGUCAUCACCCAUGGUACUUUAUUAUGUAACCAUGUGCAAUGCAAUGACCCAAUUAGCGGGUUAAUAGCCUUAUAUUGUUAAUCCCUAAAAUAAGAAAAAUAAAUUUGUAUCGAACAAAUGUUUACCAUAAUUUCGUAUCCGACAAUAUGUUUCAUAGUCAUCUAAUGGCCAUAAGCAUGUUAUAAUUGGCAUCACAGUACCCCAGAUAGCUAGUUCAUCACAGCACAACACACCAUUCAGCUAGUUCACCACACCACAGUACAUAUGCAUUAAUUUUCACAUGUAACAUGUAAAAUCUUUGAAAACUAGCAUCACAAAUGGUAAAUAGACAGAUGAAUCUCAUCAGAAAAACUACCGAAGCGAAAGGUGAAUAUUAAGCCUUCGACGAUGUUGCGGAUGAUAUUGCCUUGGUAUUGAUGAACUACAACCUCCUUGCAUGGAGCUUGCUUGGUCAUUCUGGUGUAGCCGUGUAGGAGUAAUAGAGUAGAAGGGUUCAUCGAUCGAACACAGCCUGUUGAUGAAUAAAUGGGUUGCGUUCUGUACAUACAUGCAUAAAUACACCUCUUUUUCUGGUCUUGCUUUUCUUCCUCAUCAUCUUCCUGCUN